UGGGGAAUCUUGCACAAUGGGGGCAACCCUGAUGCAGCGACGCCGCGUGAGCGAUGAAGCCCUUCGGGGCGUAAAGCUCUUUCGACCGGAACGAUAAUGACGGUACCGGGAGAAGAAGCUGCGGCUAACUACGUGCCAGCAGCCGCGGUAAUACGUAGGCAGCAAGCGUUGUUCGGAGUUACUGGGCGUAAAGAGUGCGUAGGCGGUUUUCUAAGUUCGGUGUGAAAUCUCCCGGCUUAACUGGGAGGGUGCGCCGAAGACUGGGAAGCGGGAGUGGGGGAAAGGCAGGCGGAAUUCCUGGUGUAGCGGUGAAAUGCGUAGAUAUCAGGAGGAACACCGGCGGUGUAGACGGCUUGCUAGACCAUAACUGACGCUGAGGCACGAAAGCGUGGGUAGCAAACA
rnacentral:rRNA from 1 species